rnacentral:rRNA from 1 species
GAUGAACGCUGGCGGCGUGCCUAAUACAUACAAGUCGAGCGAAUGGAUUAAGAGCUUGCUCUUAUGAAGUUAGCGGCGGACGGGUGAGUAACACGUGGGUAACCUGCCCAUAAGACUGGGAUAACUCCGGGAAACCGGGGCUAAUACCGGAUAACAUUUUGAACCGCAGGGUUCGAAAUUGAAAGGCGGCUUCGGCUGUCACUUAUGGAUGGACCCGGGUCGCAUUAGCUAGUUGGUGAGGUAACGGCUCACCAAGGCAACGAUGCGUAGCCGACCUGAGAGGGUGAUCGGCCACACUGGGACUGAGACACGGCCCAGACUCCUACGGGAGGCAGCAGUAGGGAAUCUUCCGCAAUGGACGAAAGUCUGACGGAGCAACGCCGCGUGAGUGAUGAAGGCUUUCGGGUCGUAAAACUCUGUUGUUAGGGAAGAACAAGUGCUAGUUGAAUAAGCUGGCACCUUGACGGUACCUAACCAGAAAGCCACGGCUAACUACGUGCCAGCCGCCGCGGUAA